rnacentral:rRNA from 1 species
GGGUCAGUAGGUUGGUCGUGCCACCGGUACGUACUGGUCUCACUGAUUCCUCCUUCCUGAAGAACCGUAAUGCCAUUAAUUUGGUGUUGCGGGGAAGCAGGACUGUUACUUUGAAAAAAUUAGAGUGUUUAAAGCAAGCUAACGCUUGAAUACAUUAGCAUGGAAUAAUGAAAUAGGACGAUCGAUCCUAUUUUGUUGGUUUCUAGGAUUGACGUAAUGAUUAAUGGGGAUAUUGGG